CACGUAGGGGGCAAGCGUUGUCCGGAUUUAUUGGGCGUAAAGAGCUCGUAGGUGGUUCGGUAAGUCGGGUGUUAAACCCCCAGGCUCAACCUGGGGACGCCACUCGAUACUGCUGUGACUAGAGUCCGGUAGGGGAGCGUGGAAUUCCUGGGUGUAGCGGUGAAAUGCGCAGAUAUCAGGAGGAACACCAGCGGGCCGAAGGCGGCGCUCUGGGCCGGUACUGACACUGAGGAGCGAAAGCGUGGGUAGCAAACAGG
rnacentral:rRNA from 1 species